UCCGGCGGUACAGGAUGAGUCUGCAUCUGAUUAGCUAGUUGGUGGUGUAAUGGACUACCAAGGCGACGAUCAGUAGCUGGUUUGAGAGGAUGAUCAGCCACAAUGGGACUGAGACACGGCCCAUACUCCUACGGGAGGCAGCAGUAGGGAAUUUUGCGCAAUGGGCGAAAGCCUGACGCAGCAACGCCGCGUGAUCGAAGACGCCCUUCGGGGUGUAAAGAUCUGUCAGUGGGGACGAAACUUGACGGUACCCACAGAGGAAGCACCGGCUAACUCCGUGCCAGCAGCCGCGGUAAUACGGGGGGUACAAGCGUUGUCCGGAAUCAUUGGGCGUAAAGAGUUCGUAGGCGGCACGUAAAGUCUGGUGUUAAAGGCAGAGGCUCAACUUCUGUACGGCACUGGAUACUUGCGAGCUAGAAUGCGGUAGAGGUAAAGGGAAUUCCUGGUGCAGCGGUGAAAUGCUUAGAUAUCAGGAGGAACAUCGGUGGCGUAAGCGCUUUACUGGGCCGUAAUUGACGCUGAGGAACGAAAGCCAGGGUAGCAAAUGGGAUUAGAUACCCCAGUAGUCCUGGCCGUAAACGAUGGAUACUAGGUGU
rnacentral:rRNA from 1 species